CCUACGGGUGGCAGCAGUGGGGAAUAUUGCACAAUGGGCGAAACCCUGAUGCAGCGACGCCGCGUGCGUGAAGAAGUAUUUCGGUAUGUAAAGCUCUAUCAGCAGGGAAGAAGAAAGACGGUACCUGAAUAAGCAGCCCCGGCUACCUACGUGCAAACAGCCGCGGUAAUACGUAGGGGGCAAGCGUUAUCCGGAUUUAAUGGGUGUAAAGGGAUCGUAGACGGGUGUGCAAGGCUUAUGGGAAAGGCCGUGGCUCAACCGCGGAACUGCUUUGGAAACUGUCUAGCUUGAGUAAUGGAGAGGCAGGCGGAAUUCGUAGUGUAGCGGUGAAAUGCGUAGAUAUUAGGAGGAACACCAGUGGCGAAGGCAGCCUACUGGACAGAAACUGACGUUGAGGCUCGAAAGCGUGGGGAGCAAACAGGAUUAGAUACCCUGGUAGUC
rnacentral:rRNA from 1 species